UUCAGAUCCUCAAAUACCAUAUG
rnacentral:miRNA from 2 species